rnacentral:lncRNA from 1 species
GGGUCAUUCAUUUAUUCAAUAAAGAAAACUAUGCAAAUCGUUUGACGUGGAUAACGAAAAAGAUUGACACACACACAUGUUUUGAAAGCAUAAUAUAAUAUAUUCUAUUUAUUUUAACCAGGGAUAGCGACUGCCACUAAAUUAUGUUUCUGAGAUACUCCUUAAAUUUUUCACGUCUUUUACGAUGUACAUCUCACUAACUAAU